rnacentral:lncRNA from 1 species
GUGACAGAAUAUUGGCUAAUUUGCUUCCCUAAGGCCUCUUGGAAGUCCUUGCCUAGGGUCUGACUGUUUUAUUAUCCCAGUUUUUCUUAUCACAGCUAAAAUCAUGGCGACAAUUCAAGUUAAAUCUUGCCGCUAUAAAAAGUCAUUUAAAAUUCAAAAUGUCUAAGACUUGAAUCACCACCUUGCUCCCAGUACCAGUUCCUUCUCCUUUUCAGUAUCCUUGGCUUAAAAUGAUCAACAUUCCUGAUAUGUUGAAAUUAUAUGGCUUGAAAUGAUCAACAUCCCCUUUGCUUCUGUCUCUGAGCAGUCCUAAAUCCCGUUAAUUCCUGCUUAGAAUUCCUCAGAUCACCCUCUCCUUUCCGUCUCCUCUGCCAACCCUCAAUCACGCUUAUGACCUCUCGCUGGCAUGUCUGAACCCUCCUGGCUUUCCCUCUUCUAAACAAGUCAGCCACAUUUAACUUUCUGAUACAAUAUUUUAAGAACAUCAUUUUUUAAAUAUAUUCAACUAUAAUUUGUCAAUUUCUAAUUUUAAAAAUAAAAAUUGAAAGAGCAUCAUUUUUUUCCUCAGAAACCUUCAACAGCUCACCACUAUCUAUGUAAAUGUGUGUUUGUCCUCCGUAGUCUCAGGUACAAACGUUGCAUCAGCAUAAGGUCCGGUC